rnacentral:rRNA from 1 species
AGGGGGUAGACAACAGGUAUGCCUCAGUAACGGCGAGUGAAGCGGCAAAAGCUCAAAUUUGAAAUCUGGCUCUUUCAGGGUCCGAGUUGUAAUUUGUAGAAGAUGCUUCGGGUGUGGUCCCGGUCUAAGUUCCUUGGAACAGGAACGUCAUAGAGGGUGAGAAUCCCGUAAUGUGACUGGGGUACCUACGCUCAUGUGAAGCUCUUUCGACGAGUCGAGUUGUUUGGGAAUGCAGCUCAAAAAUGGGUGGUAAAUUUCAUCUAAAGCUAAAUAUUGGCCAGAGACCGAUAGCGCACAAGUAGAGUGAUCGAAAGAUGAAAAAGCACUUUGGAAAGAGAGUUAAACAGUACGUGAAAUUGUUGAAAGGGAAGCGCUUGCAAUCAGACUUGCGUCUAGUUGAUCAUCCGGGCUUCUGCCCGGUGCACUCGAUUAGGCUCAGGCCAGCAUCGGUUUGGGUGGUUGGAUAAAGGCCUGGGGAACGUAGCCUCCUUCGGGGGGUGUUAUAGCCCCAGGUGCAAUGCAGCCUACCUGGACCGAGGACCGCGCUUCGGCUAGGAUGCUGGCGUAAUGGUUGUAAGCGACCCGUCUUGAAACACGGACCAAGGAGUCUAACAUUUAUGCGAGUGUUUGGGUGUUAAACCCAUACGCGUAAUGAAAGUGAACGGAGGUAAGAACCCUUAAGGGUGCAUUAUCGACCGAUCCUGAUGUCUUCGGAUGGAUUUGAGUAAGAGCAUAACUGUUGGGACCCGAAAGAUGGUGAUCUAUACGUGAAUAGGGUGAAGCCAGAGGAAACUCUGGUGGAGGCUCGCAGCGGUUCUGACGUGCAAAUCGAUCGUCAAAUUUGCGUAUAGGGGGCGAAAGACUAAUCGAACCAUUGGUGACCAGCCACUAGGUGGUUAAGAAGGAAGCCUUAGUCCCCCCCGCGAGGGGGGGGCGACAUUGUCAAAUUGUCGGGGACCACCCGCUAAAUUUCAAGCUACCGCAGCCCUCGCUCGAAAGGGGAGGUGCGCACCCGGGGGCCACGGCCCUGGGGGAUGGUAACAAUGCUUGAAUAGGGUCAAUCCGCAGCGAAGUCCUACCGCCUCACGGGCCACGGACAGCGUUCACAGACUAGACGGCAAUUGGGCGAGGGCCCCCCGACAUGGGGCGGCCGCGCUUAAGAUAUAGUCGAUCCGCCCAGAGA